AUUGAACGCUGGCGGCAUGCCUUACACAUGCAAGUCGAACGGCAGCACGGGAGCAAUCCUGGUGGCGAGUGGCGAACGGGUGAGUAAUAUAUCGAAACGUGCCCAGUCGUGGGGAUAACGUAGCGAAAGCUACGCUAAUACCGCAUACGAUCUAUGGAUGAAAGCGGGGGAUCGCAAGACCUCGCGCGAUUGGAGCGGCCGAUAUCAGAUUAGGUAGUUGGUGAGGUAAAGGCUCACCAAGCCGACGAUCUGUAGCUGGUCUGAGAGGACGACCAGCCACACUGGGACUGAGACACGGCCCAGACUCCUACGGGAGGCAGCAGUGGGGAAUUUUGGGACAAUGGGCGCAAGCCUGAUCCAGCAAUGCCGCGUGCAGGAUGAAGGCCUCGGUUGU
rnacentral:rRNA from 1 species